GUGAGGAAUUUUCCGCAAUGGGCGAAAGCCUGACGGAGCAAUGCCGCGUGAAGGAUGAAGGCCUAUGGGUUGUAAACUUCUUUUCUCAGAAAAGAAUUAUGACGGUACCCAAAGAAUAAGCACCGGCUAACUUCGUGCCAGCAGCCGCGGUAAUACGAAGGGUGCAAGCGUUACUCGGAAUUACUGGGCGUAAAGCGUGCGUAGGUGGUGGUUUAAGUCCGUUGUGAAAGCCCUGGGCUCAACCUGGGAAUUGCAGUGGAUACUGGAUCACUAGAGUGUGGUAGAGGGAUGCGGAAUUUCUGGUGUAGCAGUGAAAUGCGUAGAGAUCAGAAGGAACAUCCGUGGCGAAGGCGGCAUCCUGGGCCAACACUGACACUGAGGCACGAAAGCGUGGGGAGCAAACAGGAUUAGAUACCCCUGUAGUCC
rnacentral:rRNA from 1 species